UGGGAGUUUUGUCUAAUAUGGAAUCUGGUGGUCCAGGCGGAUUACCUACCGGGCCUGCACAAUGUUCAGGCAGAUUGGAACUCACGUUAUCUCUUGGACAGCAGCGAUUGGAGAUUUGAUGUAGAGAUGUUUUGCACAGUUUCCUCCCUUUGGGGUCCCUUUAUCAUAGACCUAUUUGCCUCACACCCAGCUGCCCCGUUUCUUCAACUGGCGCCAGGACCCAGCCGCAGAGGCAGUGGACGCUUUCCUGCAGGAUUGGCAUGGACCUCUUCUCUAUGCUUUCCCGCCAUUUGCCAUGCUUCUCAGGACGCUGCUUCAGUUUCGCCGCGAAAUGGCGGAGUUGGUUCUCUUAACCCCAUUCUGGGGGACUCCGUCGUGAU